GUCCCCGUCGUCCAGUGGCCCAGGACUCCGCCCUCUCGUGGUGGCAACAUAGGUUCGAAUCCUGUCGGGGACGCCA
rnacentral:tRNA from 1 species